CAUAUCAACUUUCGAUGUCAUUGACUGCACCUACCAUGGUGACCACGGGUAACGGGGAAUCAGGGUUCAAUUCCA
rnacentral:rRNA from 1 species